UACGGGGGGGGCAAGCGUUGUUCGGAAUUACUGGGCGUAAAGGGCGCGUAGGCGGCCCUCUAAGUCAGACGUGAAAUCCCACGGCUUAACCGUGGAACUGCGUCUGAUACUGGAGGGCUUGAAUCCGGGAGAGGGAUGUGGAAUUCCAGGUGUAGCGGUGAAAUGCGUAGAUAUCUGGAGGAACACCGGUGGCGAAGGCGACUCUCUGGCCUGUAACUGACACUGAGGCG
rnacentral:rRNA from 1 species